UUGGAGGGCAAGUCUGGUGCCAGCAGCCGCGGUAAUUCCAGCUCCAAUAGCGUAUAUUAAAGUUGUUGCAGUUAAAAAGCUCGUAGUUGAAUUUCGGGGUUAGUAGGUUGGUCAUGCCUCUGGUAUGCACUGGUCUCACUGAUUCCUCCUUCCUGAUGAGCCGUAAUGCCAUUAAUUUGGUGUUGCGGGGAAUUUGGACUGUUACUUUGAAGAAAUUAGAGUGUUUAAAGCAAGCUAACGCUUGAAUACAUUAGCAUGGAAUAAUGAAAUAGGACGUUCGAUCCUAUUUUGUUGGUUUCUAGGAUUGACGUAAUGAUUAAUAGGGAUAGUUGGGGGCAUUAGUAUUCAAUUGUCAGAGGUGAAAUUCUUGGAUUUAUUGAAGACUAACUACUGCGAAAGCAUUUGCCAGGGAUGUUUUCAUUAAUCAAGAACGAAAGUUAGGGGAUCGAAGACGAUCAGAUACCGUCGUAGUCUUAACCAUAAACUAUGCCGACUAGGGAUCGGACGAUGUUAAUUUUUUAAUAACUCGUUCGGCGCCUUACGGGAAAC
rnacentral:rRNA from 1 species